rnacentral:rRNA from 1 species
UACAGAGGGUGCGAGCGUUGUUCGGAAUUAUUGGGCGUAAAGGGCUCGUAGGCGGCCAACUAAGUCAGACGUGAAAUCCCUCGGCUUAACCGGGGAACUGCGUCUGAUACUGGAUGGCUUGAGUGUGGGAGAGGGAUGCGGAAUUCCAGGUGUAGCGGUGAAAUGCGUAGAUAUCUGGAGGAACACCGGUGGCGAAGGCGGCAUCCUGGACCACGACUGACGCUGAGUGAGCGAAAGCCAGGGGAGCAAACGGG